UGGGGAAUAUUGCACAAUGGGCGCAAGCCUGAUGCAGCCAUGCCGCGUGUAUGAAGAAGGCCUUCGGGUUGUAAAGUACUUUCAGCGAGGAGGAAGGCGUUGUGGUUAAUAACCGCAGCGAUUGACGUUACUCGCAGAAGAAGCACCGGCUAACUCCGUGCCAGCAGCCGCGGUAAUACGGAGGGUGCAAGCGUUAAUCGGAAUUACUGGGCGUAAAGCGCACGCAGGCGGUCUCUCAAGUCGGAUGUGAAAUCCCCGGGCUCAACCUGGGAACUGCAUCCGAAACUGGCAGGCUAGAGUCUUGUAGAGGGGGGUAGAAUUCCAGGUGUAGCGGUGAAAUGCGUAGAGAUCUGGAGGAAUACCGGUGGCGAAGGCGGCCCCCUGGACAAAGACUGACGCUCAGGUGCGAAAGCGUGGGGAGCAAACA
rnacentral:rRNA from 1 species